AUACGGAGGGUGCAAGCGUUAUUCGGAAUCACUGGGCGUAAAGGACGCGUAGGCGGGUUGGCAAGUCAGAUAUGAAAUCCUACAGCUUAACUGUAGAACUGCAUUUGAAACUGCUAACCUAGAGUAUGGGAGGGGGAGAUGGAAUUAGUGGUGUAGGGGUAAAAUCCGUAGAUAUCACUAGGAAUACCGAAAGCGAAGGCGAUCUCCUGGAACAUAACUGACGCUAAGGCGUGAAAGCGUGGGGAGCAAACAGGAUUAGAAACCCUUGUAGUCC
rnacentral:rRNA from 1 species